AGUAGUAGAAGAAGACCCCGUGUAUAAAUGUACGUCACAUCCGGACGGAUAGUCCAGUUGAUCGCACGGCGGGAAUGAGAGCUGAAGACUGAAUACACGUGUGCGACAUCCAGCAUUAAGAUGGAGAGGACUACAGAGAUGAACCCAGACCCCGCUCUGCUCGGACCUCCUGACUGACAUCUGAUGCUCAAUGACUUCAGGAGUGGAAAUCUUUCAGAGGCUGCUGAGUGCAGAAGUCUCUCUUGUCAAAGGUCUCGAAGGCGAAUAAGUGGUUCCUGCUGGCCUCAAUGAGAAGAGUCGACCGGUUAUGAUGGGGAUCGAUAUUGUGGCUCUCGUUGAAACCAACCAGAGUGCGCCCCAAACAUCAGUCAGGGUUCAACCAGUAUGAGGAGACUUUGAUGCAGAUUUCAUCCAGAGUUGGAGAACCAGUUCAUCUGCUGACCUUCAGAUGACACUGUAGUCGGGUGGAAAUUUAUCCAGAGUUUUAUAAUCUCAUUUGUAUAAAUAAACUUAAAACCUAAAAAUAAA